ensembl:lncRNA
CUAGAAUUGCUGACGACCUACUGGGAAUUUGGACGAAGUUUCUCGAGGCUAUAACACGACUGUACAUCCUCCUGGGAAGCCGGAAAGGAGGAGAACUUGGAGCAGCAGGGCGUGGAUCUUCUUAGCAGAGUGGAGCGGAGAUGGGAAAGGAAAUGUCUUCCCGUCAUUGUUCUGAUGGAAGAUGGGGAAGGUUGCCCGUGGCUCAGCAGGUAGAACUCAUUAACAGGGAGAGAAGUCCCCACCAGGGCUUGCCAACGGCCAAGUGUUACUCAUUCACCCGGCAAGAGUUCUGACAGGAGAGUCCAGGUUGUAUGAAUGCUUUACAUAUUUUGAAUAUUAACGCCUCAUCAGACACAUGAUUUGCAAGUAUUUUCUCCCAUUUGGAGAAAGGACUGCCAAACAGAUGAAUUAAAGGAUGAGUGAAUGCCGGCUUUGGUUGCAUCCCUGUGUGUGGCAGCAAAUGCUGAUGGGAGCUGGGAUGCUGUUUACGCUACAGAAUGGGACCAAUUGUGGUCAGACUCCUGGGCCCUUGCAGGGCAUUUCUGUAGGACUGGCUAUAGGAUCUAAGCAGAAAAUACCAUCUCACCCCUGGUAGAGAUUAUUCCCAGUGCUCCUCCCUAAAAGCAACCUGUUGGCCAUACUGAUGGCAUCGGUAGUGAGGCCUCUGAAGGAUGCUCCAUCUACUAGCUGG